CCUACGGGUGGCAGCAGUGAGGAAUAUUGGUCAAUGGACGAGAGUCUGAACCAGCCAAGUAGCGUGAAGGAUGACUGCCCUAUGGGUUGUAAACUUCUUUUAUAUGGGAAUAAAAUGUUCCACGUGUGGGAUUUUGUAUGUACCAUAUGAAUAAGGAUCGGCUAACUCCGUGCCAGCAGCCGCGGUAAUCCGGAGGAUCCGAGCGUUAUCAGGAUUUAUUGGGUUUAAAGGGAGCGUAGGUGGAUUGUUAAGUCAGUUGUGAAAGUUUGCGGCUCAACCGUAAAAUUGUAGUUGAAACUGGCAGGCUUGAGUACAGUAGAGGUGGGCGGAAUUCGUGGUGUAGCGGUGAAAUGCUUAGAUAUCACGAAGAACUCCGAUUGCGAAGGCAGCUCACUGGACUGCAACUGACACUGAGGCUCGAAAGUGUGGGUAUCAAACAGGAUUAGAUACCCGGGUAGUC
rnacentral:rRNA from 1 species